rnacentral:rRNA from 1 species
AUUGAACGCUGGCGGCAUGCCUUACACAUGCAAGUCGAACGGCAGCACGGGAGCAAUCCUGGUGGCGAGUGGCGAACGGGUGAGUAAUAUAUCGGAACGUGCCCAGUCGUGGGGGAUAACGUAGCGAAAGCUACGCUAAUACCGCAUACGAUCUAUGGAUGAAAGCGGGGGAUCGCAAGACCUCGCGCGAUUGGAGCGGCCGAUAUCAGAUUAGGUAGUUGGUGAGGUAAAGGCUCACCAAGCCGACGAUCUGUAGCUGGUCUGAGAGGACGACCAGCCACACUGGGACUGAGACACGGCCCAGACUCCUACGGGAGGCAGCAGUGGGGAAUAUUGGACAAUGGGCGAAAGCCUGAUCCAGCAAUGCCGCGUGAGUGAUGAAGGCCUUAGGGUUGUAAAGCUCUUUUACCCGGGAUGAUAAUGACAGUACCGGGAGAAUAAGNUCCGGCUAACUCCGUGCCAGCAGCCGCGGUAAAG